ensembl:lncRNA
AAAAAGAGGGAGGGAGAUAUAAAGAGAGGGAGAGAGAUAUGAAGAGAGGGAGAGAGAUGAAGAGAGGGAGAGAGAUAUAAAGAGAGGGAGAGAGAUAUAAAGAGUGGGAGAGAGACAUAAAAAGAGGGAGAGAGAUAUAAGGAGAGGGACAGAGAUAUAAAGAGAGGGAGAGAAAGAUAAAGAGAGGGAGAGAGAUAUAAAGAGAGGGAGAGAGAUAUAAGGAGAGGGAGAGAGAUAUAAAGAGAGGGAGAGAGAUAUAAAGAGUGGGAGAGAGACAUAAAAAGAGGGAGAGAGAUAUAAGGAGAGGGACAGAGAUAUAAAGAGAGGGAGAGAAAGAUAAAGAGAGGGAGAGAGAUAUAAAGAGAGGGAGAGAGAGAUAAAGAGAUGGAGAUUUAAAGAGAGGGAGAGAGAGAUAAAGAGAGGGAGAUAUAAAGAGAGGGAGAGAGAGAUAAAGAGAGGGAGAUAUAAAGAGAGGGAGAUAAAGAGAAGGAGAGAGAUAUAAAGAGAGGGAGAGAGAUGAAGAGAGGGAGAUAUAAAGAGAGGGAGAGAAAGAUAAAGAGAGGGAGAGAGAUAUAAAGAGAUGGAGAGAGAGAUAAAGAGAGGGAGAUAUAAAGAGAGGGAGAGAGAGAUAAAGAGAGGGAGAUAUAAAGAGAGGGAGAGCGAGAUAAAGAGAGGGAGAUAUAAAGAGAGGGAGAUAUAAAGAGAAGGAGAGAGAGAUAAAGAGAGGGAGCUAUAAAGAGAGGGAGAUAAAGAGAAGGAGAGAGAUAUAAAGAGAGGGAGGGAGAUAUAAAGAGAGGGAGAGAGAUGAAGAGAGGGAGAUAAUAAGAGAGGGAUAGAGAUAUAAAGAGAGGGAGAGAGAUAUGAAGAGAGUGAGAGAGAUAUAAAGAGAGGGGGAGAGAUAUAAAGAGAGGGAGAUAGAUAAAGAGAGGGAGCUAUCAAGAGAGGGAGAUAAAGAGAAGGAGAGAGAUAUAAAGAGAGGGAGAGAGAUGAAGAGAGUGAGAGAGAUAUAAAGAGAGGGGGAGAGAUAUAAAGAGAGAGAGAUAUAUAAAGAGAGGGGGAUAUAAAGAGAGGGAGAGAGAUAUGUAGAGAGGGAGAGAGAGAAAGAGAGGGAGAGAGAGAUAAAGAGAGGGAGAUAUAAAGAGAGGGAGAUAUAAAGAGAGGGAGAGAGAUAUAAAGAGAGGGAGAUGUAAAGAGAGGGAGAGAGAUAUAAGGAGAGGGAGAGAGAUAUAAAGAGAGGGAGAGAGAUAUAAAGAGUGGGAGAGAGAGAUAAAGAGAGGGAGAGAGAUAUAAGGAGAGGGACAGAUAUAUAAAGAGAGGGAGAUAUAAAGAGAGGGAGAGAAAGAUAAAGAGAGGGAGAGAGAUAUAAAGAGAGGGAGAGAGAGAUAAAGAGAUAUAAAGAGAGGGAGAGAGAGAUAAAGAGAGGGAGAUAUAAAGAGAGGGAGAGAGAGAUAAAGAGAGGGAGAUAUAAAGAGAGGGAGAGAGAGAUAAAGAGAGGGAGAUAUAAAGAGAGGGCGAGAGAUAGACAGAGGGGGAGAUAUAAAGACAGUGUCACAUGUGCUCCCUCUCGGCCUCUAGGUCACCAGGCAGCUUGUUAUAGCACACACCUGUUACCAUCGUUACUUGUACCUCCGCGUCAUCAGACUCACCUGGACUCCAUCACUUCCCUGAUUAUCUUCCCUAUAUACAGUUGGGGAAGUCGGAAGUUUACAUACACUGAGGUUGGAGUCAUUAAAACUUGUUUUUCAACCACUCCACAAAUGUCUUGUUAACAAACUAUAGUUUUGGAAAGUCGGUUUGGACAUCUACUUUGUGCAUGACACAAGUAAUUUUUCCAACAAUUGUUUACAGACAGAUUAUUU